rnacentral:pre_miRNA from 1 species
CAGAUCAGAAGGUGAUUGUGGCUUUGAGUAAAUAUUAAGCAGCCACAGCACUGCCUGGUCAGAA